rnacentral:lncRNA from 1 species
UGUGGGGCUGUGGCCCAGAAUAAAGCCUUCUUCCCUUAACAGACUUCUUGUCAGGCAUCUGGUCACAGCCAUGAGCGGCUACUGCACCGUCUGUCUGCCCUUGCUCACAGAGAAACUGUCGCCCCUGCGGAUUCGGAAGGAUUGCCGAUGCUGUAGCUGGUUCCCAGGAGCAAAUCCUCCACAGGGGAAAGGUAACUCUCGAAGCAUGAUCAUGUUCCUGCAUCUGUCAUCGAUGUCACACAACUGAUCAGGUCUGCUGUCACCAUGAAGCCAUCAGACACGAGCGCAAGCUAUGGUAUCAGUAUUACACGGGGCUCCAGUUUGCACUCAGCUGAGGACCAUUCUGCGUG